rnacentral:lncRNA from 1 species
AUGUAACAUCCCUUUUCAUUUGUAUAUGUAUUUCUAGUUGAUCAUAUAAAUUCAUUUAAAGCAUAAAAGACAAGUUAAAAGAGCAACGGGCGUAUCAUGCACUAAAGCGCAGCCCUUUAUUUUAAUCCUUUGUCAAAUUUAAUAGUUGCGUAAAAAUUUUGUAAAAAAGCAAAAGAGUUUAUGUUCUACAUUUGGUCCGAGUACAGUUAUCAUCCCUUGAUUUUCGUUGUCCACGAAUAUAGUUGCUAGUGUGGACAGUGUGUUACUUAACAAUCUUUUUUACAUCCCUUCCAAUUUAUAUCUUCAUGUUUUAUGCUUCAAAUAGCAAGUAGGGGGAUAAAACUACACUGUGAAAAAAUUUGAUUCAUGAAUUUUAAAAUAAAGCAGUGAUUUGGUCCAGCUGAAAAAGGUUAAAAAUAAGUAUUUCGGAAGUUGUCAAAAGAUUUAAAGACCCCCUGAACAUUAAAUUGUCCAUAUUUAGAGUUAGAGCUGAUAAAGUUUUCUAUAAUUUUGAUAUAAUUUGUUCCUAAAGUAAUACAUAACACUGUACAAAUAUUAUUUAGAAAGUGCAGGUUGGAUUUUUUUAUUUCCAUUUAUUGUCUAAAAGAAAUGCACUACGAAAUAACUGUGUACUCGGACCAUUUAACAUUCCUUGUUAUUGCUUAAUAUUUAAGUAUCAUUAUUGAUAAGUAUUAAAUUUUUAGUAUUAUUUGUGUAUUGUAUGGUGUUUUAAUUUUGUAUUGUAUGUAACAAGACUAAUAUAAGAGUUUUGCUCAAUGUCAAAGGCAGUACAGUGACCAUUAGUUGUUAACUUCUGUCAUUUGGUUUCUGGUAGAGAGUUGUCCUAUUGGCAAUCAUACCACAUCUUCUUAUUUUAUAGGUGGUUAAAUUUGUAGAGUACAAACAUGUAUGCAAUACAUCCUUAUUAUAUACUAUAGAUACUUAAAUUAUUUAUUUGUUGAAUUAUCAAUCAAAUUAUAUAUUUUUAUAAUUGUUGAAUAAAAAUUAUUACAUAUAUUUAUUAUUCAGUUGUUCUUAACUCCAUUUUAUGUUCUGAAUUUAAAGAGAAGGAUCAACUUAUGCUUAUUAAUAUGAUCAAACUCGACAACCACAGAAUUUCAAUGUCAUUUGGACCAUGUAACCUCAGUUAUCUGUUGUCUUCUGGUUGCCAUUCAAAAGUCUUAAACUUUUCUCUGUAUUUUUUGUGCUAAUUUUUUUUUUGAUCAAAAUUGUAUUUUAGGUUUUGUUCCAUCAAGAAAUUUGUUAGAAAUAGUGUGACUAGAAAUAGAAC